rnacentral:lncRNA from 1 species
AAGUUAAAUUUUUUUCUCUAAGAAAAUUCAGUCUGCUGAAUCUGAACGAAGCCUGGAUCGCGAUCAACACUUGAUCUCUUUCCUUAAUCUUCUUCUUCUCUUCUUUUCUUACUUUUUUUUUAUAUUAUGCUACUACCAGCAGGUGGAAACUAGCACAAGGUGGACACCCAAGUGCCCUUGGCAUGGAGGAGAAGUGGGAUGCCCCAAGUGGUGGGAUGUGUGGACAUCCAAGG